rnacentral:rRNA from 1 species
UACGUAGGCAGCAAGCGUUGUUCGGAGUUACUGGGCGUAAAGGGUGCGUAGGCGGCUUUUUAAGUUUGGUGUGAAAUCUCCCGGCUCAACUGGGAGGGUGCGCCGAAUACUGAGAGGCUAGAGUGUGGGAGAGGAAAGUGGAAUUCCUGGUGUAGCGGUGAAAUGCGUAGAGUAUCAGGAGGAACACCGGUGGUGUAAACGCUUUCUGGACCAUAACUGACGCUGAGGCACGAAAGCGUGGGUAGCAAACAGG